rnacentral:rRNA from 1 species
UACGGAGGAUCCGAGCGUUAUCCGGAUUUAUUGGGUUUAAAGGGUGCGUAGGCGGCCUGUUAAGUCAGGGGUGAAAGGCGGUAGCUCAACUAUCGCAGUGCCCUUGAUACUGAUGGGCUUGAAUGUACUAGAGGUAGGCGGAAUGUGACAAGUAGCGGUGAAAUGCAUAGAUAUGUCACAGAACACCAAUUGCGAAGGCAGCUUACUAUGGUAUUAUUGACGCUGAGGCACGAAAGCGUGGGGAUCAAACAGG